rnacentral:rRNA from 1 species
AGCAGCCGCGGUAAUUCCAGCUCCAAUAGCGUAUAUUAAAGUUGUUGCAGUUAAAAAGCUCGUAGUUGAAUUUCGGGAUCAAUCUAUCGGUCGUGCAAUAGUACGUACUGAUUUUAUUGAUUCCUCCCUUCUGAUGAACUAUGAUGUCAUUAAUUUGGUGUCAUAGGGAAUCAGGACUGUUACUUCGAAAAAAUUAGAGUGUUUAAAAGCAGGCUCACGCUUGAAUACAUUAGCAUGGAAUAACGAAAUAGGACGUUUGAUUCUAUUUUGUUGGUUUCUAGGAUCGACGUAAUGAUUAAUAGGGAUAGUUGGGGGCAUUAGUAUUCAAUUGUCAGAGGUGAAAUUCUUGGAUUUAUUGAAGACUAAACUACUGCGAAAGCAUUUGUCCAAGGAUGUUUUCAUUAAUCAAGAACGAAAGUUAGGGGAUCGAAGACGAUCAGAUACCGUCGUAGUCUUAACCAUAAACUAUGCCGACUAGGGAUCGGAUGAUGUUAAUUUUUAAUGACUCU